AUCCUGGUUUACGACCUCAGAGAAUAUGACUUGUUGCCACGCAUGCGUCUCAUCCUUUUCGAGGCGGCAUCUGAUGCCAUUGUGUUUCGAUAUCAGAAACUGCAUUGAAUUUCUUCAGAAAAUAGAGGUCGUCAUCUGCAGAAGGUAUUGGUAGAGUGACAGGACAAGUUUCCGAGGAACGGGCAGACGGUGUAGUCGGUUCUGUUCUGGAACUGUUCCAUCCACCGGAGUCUGAUAGGGCAUGGCACUGAGGAUGCUUGGCUCUGGCAGAGUUUGGUCGCAGGGAACUGCUUGUACCACAGCGACUGGAUGAAGUUGUACCGGUGAUAUUUCAAGCUCUGAUGUAUGAUGAUCCAGGCUGUGCCUCAGUGGGAGCAGACAUCCGAUCAGCUGCGUGCCAUGCCUGCUCGGCAUUUGGAGAAG